AGUACGGUCGCAAGAUUAAAACUCAAAGGAACUGACGGGGGCCCGCACAAGCGGUGGAGCAUGUGGUUUAAUUCGACGCAACGCGCAGAACCUUACCAACCCUUGACAUACUUGUCGCGGAUUCCAGAGAUGGAUUCCUUCAGUUCGGCUGGACAAUGUACAGGUGCUGCAUGGCUGUCGUCAGCUCGUGUCGUGAGAUGUUCGGUUAAGUCCGGCAACGAGCGCAACCCACGUCCUUGGUUACCAGCAUUUAGUUGGGUACCCUAAGGAGACUGCCGGUGAUAAGCCGGAGGAAGGUGUGGACGACGUCAAGUCAUCAUGGCCCUUACGGGUUGGGCUACACACGUGCUACAAUGGCAUCUACAGUGAGUUAAUCUCCAAAAGAUGUCUCAGUUCGGAUUGGGGUCUGCAACUCGACCCCAUGAAGUUGGAAUCGCUAGUAAUCGCGGAACAGCAUGCCGCGGUGAAUACGUUCCCGGGCCUUGUACACACCGCCCGUCACACCAUGGGAAUUGGGUCUACCCGAAGGUGGUGCGCCAACUAUUUAUAGGGGCAGCCAACCACGGUAGGUUCAGUGACUGGGGUGAAGUCGUAACAAGGUAACC
rnacentral:rRNA from 1 species